GGAGGGUGCAAGCGUUGUUCGGAUUCAUUGGGCGUAAAGGGGGUCUAGGCGGCAUGGUAAGUCGGAUGUGAAAUCCCACGGCUCACCCGUGGAACUGCAUUCGAAACUGCCACGCUUGAGUACGGAAGAGGAGAGCGGAAUUCUCAGUGUAGCGGUGGAAUGCGUAGAUAUUGAGAAGAACACCGGUGGCGAAGGCGGCUCUCUGGUCCGAUACUGACGCUGAAGCCCGAAAGCCAGGGGAGCGAACGGGGGAUUAGAUACCCCGGUAGUCCCGGCCUAAACGAUGUGCACUGGGUGUUGGAGGUAUCGACCCCCUCUAGUGCCGAAGCUAACGCAUUAAGUGCACCGCCUGGGGAGUACGGUCGCAAGGCUG
rnacentral:rRNA from 1 species